CCCUUAGAUGUCCUGGGCCGCACGCGUGCUACACUGACACUUACACCGAGUUUUUCCAAUGCCGAAAGGCCAUUGGUAAUCAGCAAUAAGUGUCGUGAUGGGGAUAGAUCUUUGGAAUUAUUGAUCUUGAACGAGGAAUGCCUAGUAAUCGUAGGUCAUCAGCCUGCGAUGAUUACGUCCCUGCCCUUUGUACACACCGCCCGUCGCACCUACCGAUUGAAUGGUCCGGUGAAAUCUCGGGACGGCGGCUUGGUCGCUUGCGUCCGACUGCUGAAACUUGAUUAAACCAUAUCAUUUAGAGGAAGGUGAAGUCGUAACA
rnacentral:rRNA from 1 species